AACGAACGCUGGCGGCAGGCCUAACACAUGCCAGUCGAGCGGACCUUUCGGGGUCAGCGGCGGACGGGUGAGUAACGCGUGGGAAUAUGCCCUUCUCUACGGAAUAGUCCUGGGAAACUGGGGGUAAUACCGUAUACGCCCUUUGGGGGAAAGAUCUAUCGGGGAAGGAUUAGCCCGCGUUGGAUUAGGUAGUUGGUGGGGUAAUGGCCUACCAAGCCGACGACCCAUAGCUGGUUUGAGAGGAUGAUCAGCCACACUGGGACUGAGACACGGCCCAGACUCCUACGGGAGGCAGCAGUGGGGAAUCUUAGACAAUGGGGGCAACCCUGAUCUAGCCAUGCCGCGUGAGUGAUGAAGGCCUUAGGGUUGUAAAGCUCUUUCAGCUGGGAAGAUAAUGACGGUACCAGCAGAAGAAGCCCCGGCUAACUCCGUG
rnacentral:rRNA from 1 species